GACGAACGCUGGCGGCGUGCUUAACACAUGCAAGUCGAACGGAAAGGCCCUGCUUUUGUGGGGUGCUCGAGUGGCGAACGGGUGAGUAACACGUGAGUAACCUGCCCUUGACUUUGGGAUAACUUCAGGAAACUGGGGCUAAUACCGGAUAGGAGCUCCUGCUGCAUGGGGGGGGUUGGAAAGUUUCGGCGGUUGGGGAUGGACUCGCGGCUUAUCAGCUUGUUGGUGGGGUAGUGGCUUACCAAGGCUUUGACGGGUAGCCGGCCUGAGAGGGUGACCGGCCACAUUGGGACUGAGAGACGGCCCAGAAUCCUACGGGAGGCAGAAGUGGGGAAUAUUGCAGAAUGGGCGGAAGCCUGAUGCAGCAACGCCGCGUGCGGGAUGACGGCCUUCGGGUUGUAAACCGCUUUCGCCUGUGACGAAGCGUGAGUGACGGUAAUGGGUAAAGAAGCACCGGCUAACUACGUG
rnacentral:rRNA from 1 species